rnacentral:rRNA from 1 species
AUACACAUCUGCGGGCCCACGAGACCAAAGAAGAUCUAGCGGCGGACGGGUGAGUAAUGUCUGGGAAACUGGCUGAUGGAGGGGGAUAACUACUGGAAACGGUAGCUAAUAACGCAUACCAUAAGAUGAGCCAAGAUGGGAUUAGGUAGUAGGUGGGGUAAUGGCUCACCUAGCAUACGAUCCCUAGCUGGCCUGAGAGGAUGACACGCCCCACUGGGACUGAGUGCCGUGCCAGACUCCUACGUGAGUCAGACGUGUUGGAUAUUGCACAAUGGGCGCAAGCCUGAUUCAGCCAGGCCUGGUGUUUUAAGAAGGCCUUCGGGUUUGUAAGCACUUUCAGCGAUGAGGCGUUACUCUCAGAAGAAGCAACGACUAACUCCGUGCCAGCAGCCGCGGGAAUUC